GGAUAGUUUCAGUGUUAUCAUCCAAACGCAAACUGGUCUAGAAGGGUAUUGUAUCACUGGCUAAGUGUCAUUUCCGGAUUCUAACUUAACCAUUAAAUCAGCAGUAGAUGUUGGUUUUUGCCCAAGAACAUUGCAGACAUUGGAAUUGAUUUCUUCUGAAGUUGUGAAAAGUGAGGGAAACUAAAAGAAUGAGGUCGAGUAAGGAGGCGUUUUUUGAGAGGUCUUACAGUGAAGUUCAAACAUGAAUUUCCCAGGGAUGAAGACAGAAUGAUUCAGGGCCACAGCCUAAGAGCUCAGAGUUCUUCUACCCAGUCAGAGGAGUCUCCAGGAAAAGCAGUCCUCACAUCAUCAUUUAUAGAAGUUUAGAUAGAAACCUCUUUUUCUAGAUAAAUCUGUACCAACUUAUCACUGACAGUAUCCUUGUUGGAUACUAGAGCUUGACUUUUUCUCCUGAUUUACGAUAUUCAUACAGUUUUUUGGGGAAAAUGACAAGCAGAAUCACUUAG
rnacentral:lncRNA from 1 species